UGAUUUCCCACUUGUGCUGUUGUUGUGUGGGAAAACUCGACUCCAGUCAUCCGCCAUGAUGUUGUCUAGGCCCUUUAUGCGUAUGGCCAUCAGACAGACUUGAUGUCUGAUGCACCAAUGCCAUAGUUGCAGACUGAGUGCACAAAGACUUCAAGACAUUGUUCCUCCCUGACGGUUGAUGUAGGUCAGGGCCGCGGUAUUUUCUAACUGCAUCUGUACAACUCUUUCUUGUAGAAGUGGAAGGAAGGCUUCCAUUGCCUUGAAGACAGCCAGAAGCUCCAGGAAUUUUAUAUGCAAUUGUUUUUGUUGAAAGGACCAUUUGCCCUGUAUCUGAUGAGCUCCACAGUGGGCUCCCCAGCCUAGCAGAGAGGCAUCUGUCAUUAGCCAGAUAGGAGUCAUCAUUUGAAAUGGAACCCCUUCCAGCAGAUUCCUGCUUGUCGACCACCAGGCAUAUUGUACAACUGUGUUGGAGGAUGUCAUUAGAUCUAAGAGCCGGGCAGGUUGAGAAAGAUGCUGCUGGACAUGGAGAACCAAAUCCCUGAUGCACUGGAAACGUUCUUGAGUCAGAAGCCAGUUGUCCAUGUAAGGAUAGAUCGAUAUGCCUUCUGUUCGUAGGUUGAUGGAGCGAAGCCACAAGUGUCUGCGCAGGGAGAUUGCCGCGGCCAAAGAGUGGGAUUCGGACUUGACCAGGUGUUUGGCAGUACUUAAUUGUUGGCGGGAGAUACAUGAGUGGUUGGAGCCACGUCAACUGGAGGAUAAAUUCUGGCAUCUGGAUCAUCUGGGUCAGAUAUGAAGUCUGAAGGAAAUAAAACUCAGAAGAACCUAACCAACGAGGAACAACAGCCCAAGGACCGAAUGCAAUGGCGGUCAGAAAAGAACUGAAGAACAUGGCACCAGGCCUGCCUUUUAAAAGCAUGCUGCAGGCAUGGAGGUGGGACUCGGUCGCCUCAAUGAGAUGUGGCAUGCUACCACUAGAGUCCUACACAGGCACAUUAUCCAUUCUUAUGGAUCUUGACGGAUCUCAAUCCAGAUCAAUCCAGAAUGUGGCUCUACACAGGCGCAAGCCCCCAGUGUGAUGCACAGAACAUUUGAAUAACUAUGGUUACAGGUAAGAACCCUGCCUUUUAUCAACACAGUGAGAGACUGAAAUGAGUAGAGGCUCAUUUCAAUUAUAGAGGCUUUAACGUUUUAUGUUAUUUUUCCUGGUGGCAGCAAGUGUAAAAGUUCAAUGAAACCUAAGACACUUCUACAAGAUAAAUUAUCCUCAAAACACAGAGUACUAGAGUGGACUAUAA